rnacentral:rRNA from 1 species
CCUACGGGUGGCAGCAGUGAGGAAUAUUGGUCAAUGGGCGCAAGCCUGAACCAGCCAAGCCGCGUGAAGGACGACUGCCCUAAGGGUUGUAAACUUCUUUUAUAAAGGAAUAAAGUGAGGCUCGAGAGCCUGUCCGAAGGUACUUUAAGAAUAAGGAUCGGCUAACUCCGUGCCAGCAGCCGCGGUAAUACGGAGGAUUCGAGCGUUAUCCGGAUUUAUUGGGUUUAAAGGGAGCGUAGGCGGGCUGUUAAGUCAGGUGUGAAAGUGCGCGGCUCAACCCUAGAAGUGCAUUUGAUACUGGCUGUCUUGAGAAGAGGAGAGGUAGGCGGAAUGCGUGGUGUAGCGGUGAAAUGCUUAGAUAUCGCGAAGAACUCCGAUUGCGAAGGCAGCUUACU